UGAUUUCACGAGAUUGUUGCAACGCGUCCAUUGUUGGAGUUCUGCGAUGGAUGUAAUUGGUGGUUUUUGAAUGGUGCCAUUGAUAAAGCCUUCUUUAUUUUUGAUGCUGAGGGCCAUGAGCAUGGCACGACUCCAAGUGCCGUAAUUUUUUUCAUUCAAUAGUUGAGUGACAAGCACAACUCCAGGUUGAUCGGAGUGGUGAAGAUAAAAAGGAUCAUUUGGAUUGCCGUAGUUAUCGGCCUCAGGCUUGGUUUGCUUUCCUGCC
rnacentral:lncRNA from 1 species